CUUGCCAACCAUUGUUUUCUAUAGUUUGCUCGAUUUUUCAUGGGCAAGUAAAUCCAAUCCCUAGCACUGUUUUGUUAGAAGAUGCCCUGAGUAUUCAACUCAACCUUGACACAAGGCCUAACAAAGAGGGAGCCUUGGGCUGAGAGCCAGGAGCUUGUGAUUUGUCUUAGAUCAACAGGCUGGGUUUUCAGGGGUCCGGACUUACCAUGUACAAACACCCUGGUGCCUGGUCCAGACUUAAACUCCACAUCAGGGGUCCCUUUCUGGAACUUCACACAGUAGUAGGUACCAGCAUCUGCUGGGGUGAUGUUCCUGAUGCAGAUGGAAAAGUCCGUGUUGUUUCUCUUUGUGGCGUCUGCAACCUUUGUUACUCGAGGCGACUGGGGGGGGUGGUCUCCUCCUCUGAAGCUGAAGAUUAACUCCCGGCCUGGCCCUGUCCCCUUGAACCACUCCACCUUCCCAAGGGGGUGCAGGGAGGUCACGGUGCAGCGCAGAGUGGCCGUCUGUCCGGCUGCCAUAGCCACGGACUUGUCCGGCUGGAUCACCCUCAGCUCCGCCUCACCUGCCACACCUGGAGGGAAAACAUGUCAGUUCCAGAUCCCCUGCCUGGCCCCACAGACUUGUAGUUUUUUUGUGGGAAUAGACCUGGAAACUUUGAAAAACACUCAGGACUGGACGGCCCAGAGUCUGUCGACCUGGAGUCAGGCUGAUGUGGGUUCAAGGCUCAACUCCAGCACCGGACAAGCUGUUUGGGGGAACCCCUUCUCACUGGUUUCGGUUUCCUCUCUGUUAAGCAGGAUGGAUCAAGCCCUUCCCCAUCAGUUCUAGCAUGUUCCCAUGGCCCCUGCUCAGACCCAGGUAUGAAGACCCAGCUCUGGGGGCAUCAGGGACGGUGAGAAGGAGCAGCAGGAACUAUGGGCAGAACUCCACACACUUUCUGGGAGUUGGGAACCUACCAGAGGGAUCCCCAAGUUUCCUGAGGGCAUCAAGGGAGAUGGCAGAGGCAGUGAUGAGCAGCAGCAGCUUGGGGCCCAGGGAGAGAGCCGCCAGGAGUGGAAUGGACAGUUCUCGAUCUGGAAAUGAAGGGACAGGAGGCACCUUCAGAGAAAGAUCUAGGAGUCCACCCCCAGGGCCUCCACUUACUCCACCUGAGGAGACAUGGACCCAUCAAUGCUCUGAAGCUCAUGACUCUCCCCUGUGGGAGGCUCGAGGCAGAUCUCAGGCCUCCGUGAUCCUGUGUUCUCAUGUGCUGAGGGUGCUCUCAGGGUGACCUACCUCACGAGACCUGCGGGCUGGACGACACCUGAGGGGGGCAAGGAAGGUCUCAGGUGGGUGUUUGAACCACCACCCAGCCCACCUGGUCAUGCCAACGUCAGGUGAGGAUCAGAGCCCAGCAAAGGGAGCUGGGUCACAACCUUGAAGGAACCUCUGGAUUUGGGGCCACGCCCUUCUUGCCAUAUGACGCAGACAGAGCACAGUUCCUCCCAGCUGUCCUAAAAGGAGUCCAUGAUAAUGACCAGAUGAGGAGUCUGAGUCUGAGAGAAACAAGGGGCUGUUCCUCUCCCCUGACUGCAUCCCAGGGGGACUUCUGGUGGCCUCCAGCCUUCUUGUCACAACAGAACAAGAGCUCCAUCUUCUGGAGCCAACAGUGACUGCCACCGUCCUGUUCCCUCUGGGAGUCUCCACUGCAGGUUGUUCUGGGGAGGGGUCUCUGCAGGUGCCCAGGGCUGGGGACCCUUUAAAAACAGAGUGAAUAGAUGGAAUCUGGAGAGCUGAGUCUAGAAAAUGAACUCUUGCUCAUGGAGCACCCUGUCAUCUUUUGUCUGCAGACCCAGGAAUGGGGUUUCUGGGUGGUAUGGCUGGGAUUGUGGGGGCCCCUCUGCUCUGCCCAGGCUCGCACCCCAGGCUGCUCAGUGAAGGAUGAAUAUCCCACAACAGGGAAAGACUCCAGAUGCUCUUCUGUGCGUGGAGCCGUGUCCUCCAGGAAGAGGCUCAACAUUUCCUGAGACAUUUGUGUAUCUGUCUGAUCCGGGGUGUAAUGCUAGUUCCCCUCCUUCAAGUACUCAGUUCUGUUAACGCUUACUGCUGAAGAACAGAAAAAUUCAAGGUUUUCAAGGAGAGGCUUGGGGCGCUCUCCCACUUUGAUUAGCACAGUGACUGCACAGGGCAGGGCUGUGAGUCAGGCUCCUUGGGGUUUAAUCUUGGUGCCUCUGCUCGCUGAAGUCAGGUGCCCUGACCUCUGUGUCCACACCUGUAAAAGGGGCAGAAAUGGCUCCUCCCCCACUGUUGAUUUAGGUCACUGUCAUGAUGAAGGCACAGCAUGUGGCCUGAGGGCCUCCCUGGCCCCUCUGUCUCCAUCCCUUCUCAUCCAGGGCAUCACCUGGGUGAGCAGAUGAUAUAGAUCUGCCUGGCAGUGGAGCCUUGUGUAACUGUGGUGAGCAGGCAAGGGACUUACCACUGGGACCUUCUGCAAUAACUGCAUAAUCAGGAUCAAGCCACCUUUCCUGCCUAGGUCUGGGGCAGGUAUGAGGAAACUCAGUUGCUACCAUGAGAGUCAGUCCCUGAAUCACAGGAGCAUUUUCCAAACAGACCAACAGCGAAUGACCAACAUCUGGCAUCUCUUCUACUAGGGGUGACACAGUAAGCAGUGCGACCAUGUCUCUUCUCCCUGUGAUAUCCUGAAUGUUUAUAAGGAAGCUCACCUCUCCCUCCCUGCGCUGGGUGCACGUGUCCUCACUGGAAGGGCUGGGAAUGUGCGCUUCAUGAGAGAGGAGGCCUUGCAUGUUUUGUUCCUGGCUACUCCCACAGCGCACAGAGCAGCGAAUGCACACAGCAGGUGCUUAGUAAGCACUGAAUAAAGAGAACCCUGGCCACAUCAAUUGUUUCCCCACAACAGCUUUCGCUGACCGAGUGCACCCCGCGAGUGGGCCUUGACCUCAGCACGCUUCACGGACACGGCACGUAACCCUUACGAUGAGUCUGUAACACGGGACCCUAUUACAGCUGAGGACACCAAGCCACAGAGAGACUGUGUGACGUGGCACAUGGCAGGAGGGAGUGCCUCAGCCCUCCCUGAAAGCGCCUUGCUUCCCUGAAUGACUCUGCGUGUCUACUGUGUGGCCCCUUCUGGUGUUACACUUUCUGAGCCCUUGCUUUCAGUGGGACCACUUGACUUCUUUAGACCAUCGUGUGUGAGUUUAAGUGAUGGAUUAUUUUUCUGGACUGUGCAUUUAACUUCCAGAGCCCUCUAUGGAUUGACUCCCCUCCUCCACAAGCACAUGCACAUGCUGGGGUCUGUUCCAUCAGCCUGGGUAAUAGUGGCAGUGAUGGUCACAGCUUUCAACACACAAUAAACAUGUCUUAAAUGAGAAGAAAA